rnacentral:lncRNA from 1 species
CAUCUAUGUGAAUUAUUACCUAGAUGCUGAUAUGUCCUAAAAGAAAAACUGUGAUGAAUAAAUAAACAGCUCUCGAAAUCUUCAAUAGGGUGCUUUACCUUGCAGGGAAUAUUAUCAUUGGCUUUUGAUACAAUUUCUGCUGCAGGGAAAGACUUUCAAAGCUCAGAAUGCUGAAGCAUUGCCAGGCGCUCAAAGACCCCCUGCAGAGCGCGUCAAACUAAGAAAUCUCUCUGAACUUGUCGAAUUAAAAGUCAUCUCUCUCUCUCUGCAACCCUGCAUGAGCUGGGAAGCUCUGUCCUCAUUUUUCCGGCCCCUCCAUGAUAAACAAAUGGAGCCUAGAGCAUCUUUAUUCUUUACAGACAUGCAAUUAAAAUUCUUUUUAAAAAAAUGUAAUCGAAGGCAAUGAAUUUCAAAGGAACUUCCAGUUAACAAUGAGACUAAACAGUUUGAGUGGGCCACAUUCAAUUGUGUUUCAAAAGUAGAAGCAAAACAGCUUGUUAAGAACCAGAAGUGUCCUUUUUUUAUUUUUAAUAUUUUGAUUGUACAUCAAGAGUGUGUUCUAAACUUAAACAUCUCAGCAGGAUUUAUGAUUCCUGUAAUGUCCUAAGACUUAAUUACUCAGACUGCAAAGAGGAGUACACUAUUAAAAUAUGAACAAAGCCAUAUGAGAUCCCUGGUUGCGGCAAUCAUUAUUAUCUAUCCACACAAAUUAAAGAAGUUAAUUUGUGUUUGCAUUUUUAGGCACCACACUGCACAUUCUUUUUUCCCCCUAUGGUGUGUGCUAGCACCAACACCAUCAUGACAAUUUGAUAGUUUGAUGGGUCAUUACAAAUGCAAUAGCAAAGAGUUACAAAGUCCUUAAUGACUAGCCAAAAAAAAAAAAAAAAAUUGAGGAAAACAUUUUAAAUGCUUUUAGAAAACCAGAAGGGGAGUGAAUGACAGCUUUGAGUGUCAGAGAUAGAAAGCAUUAUUUUUAAAAGGCUGAACAUGUUCCAUGAAAUCUUUGGGAAGAAUUUCUAAGGAUCAUGUGUUCUUUGGUCCUUAUCUUUGUAAGAGAGUAUAUAUAUUGGUGCUAUUAAUUGCCCUCUAGGAUCUGAAAUAUAAUCUCUGCUGGUAGGUGUGAGAAGGGGAGUGAACAUUGAACAUUUUAUUAUUAUCCAGUGAAUCAGGGAUGGAAGGGGUAUAUGUGUGUAGUUUUUAAAAAAACAUGCUUUGUUUAUAGGAUUGAUCUUCCUUCCUGAAUUGAGAUUGUUGGUCAAGGCAACAGGACGGCCCACGUUUCAGACCUGAGCAUUUGGUAGCAUGCAGUUACUGGGAAUAGAAAGAAUACAUUUGGGUCCAUGAGCACAUUGUGUGGCACGAUUUUUAGCUGCUCUGAAUGCAAGGUGAUGUUUCAGGGAGCAAAUGUUCAAAUGGAGAGGGAUGGGGUCUGGGAGAGAGGGCCCAAAAAGAGGCCAAAAAAAUGAGGUGAAUAUUCAGCAUGGGGUCCCUGAAGUCACAGGAAUUUGGUGAAGAAGAAGGACGUUGACAGUUUGAGUUACUGAGAUAAAGGUUAAGAGAAUGAGGAGAAGGAAAAGGUAAGCGGCUUAUUGCUUAAAGAGAAAAACAAUUCACUGCAAGGGGUUAAGGCAAGAAAUGUUUUAUGAGAUACAGACAAUGAGGAAAUUACACUCCUUUGUGGUGUUUCUUAGUAAAGGGAACACUUAGUAAAGAACAAUCACUUAGUUGAUAGAGAGGAUGAUGGGAUCAGGCAGAGAGGUUUUGUUUUUGUUUUAAAACAUAUUCAAAAUGGGAAGGAGAUAAAUGAGGACACAAGGUCCCAAAAGAAGAUGACAGAAGAUGACGGUCCUGGAGAGACAGCAAAUCCAUUCAAGGACCCAGGAGAGUAGAUCUAGGAACCUGAAGCUAGUUUUGUAAAGAGGGAAGGCAUCUUUGGUUUCCAUGUUAGCCUAACUGGAAAAGUGUACAUUAAGCCAAAACGAAAACUUUGAUUUAGGCAUGUUGAGCAGUAUCGCAAGCAAACUGUUAAUAAACCAAAUCAGUUUUAACUAUACAAUGGGAUCUUCUUUAUUAUUUAUUUUUUGGAGGCACCCAUGGCAUAUGGAUAGCGGUAACUGGUCAGGGAUCAAACCCAUGCCACAGCAGCAACCUGGGCCACUGCAGUGGCAGUGCUGGCUUCUUAAUCCACCAAGCCACAAGAGAGCUCCAGAAACUCUGUUCUUUUAACUGAAUUUUAAAUAAAAUCAACCAGUGAAUUGGACCAAAGUAAAUAUUGGAGAGAGGCAAGGGGAUGUACUUAACAUAAAGAAAUAGAGAUACUGUCACUUCCUUCAAAGUCAGUUAUUGGUAACAACUGAUCCACCACUCUAAAACAAAACAACACACACACACACAAAAAAAAACAAAACAAAAAGAAUAUUCUAUUAAUAGAACAUAAAUAAUUUUUAUAAUUUUCUUUCCUCGUCUUUGGAUUAUACCUUGCCCCUUCAUUUUAUUUAAGCUUUGUCUUUAUGGACAUGGAACUAAACAUUUAAAAGUGCUGUGGAAAAAACAAUUAUUUUUUAAUUAAAACAGUUUAAAAAAGAAAGAAUAAAGUGCUGUGUUUACCUUUCAUUUUAAAGAAUCUUAACAUGACAUGUUCAAACCACAACAAACUUAUUUUUCUGCCUGAAAAAAAAUCAAAUAAGAAACAUAAUAUCGAGGUAACUAUUUAAAGCAAGACUGUGAUCUAUUUCGAAGUCCUUGCUGGUACAUCACACAUCUUAACCUGUUCAGAAGACUUCCCAGAAGCUCUUCUCGAGAUAUGUGUUUCUUCAAUCAGAACAAAGAGGGAUCUCAUUUUCUGAUAUUGCAGUAAAAUGUAAGAGCAGCCCUCUAGGUUAAAUUAUGUGAAAAUCCUUUCUCUGAAAAGGAUUCGGGGAGAAGCAAACAGAAUUGAAAUUGACUUGGAUAUCUGAGUCAUAGCUCCAACAUCCAGUGGAUCAUAAACAAUUACCUCAUUUGAUUUUAUUUAUCCCCUUCCCUGGCCCAUUUUUUUUUUUUAAUACACUUGGUUUGGAACAAGUUCGAUUAGAGCAAGUAACAUUAUGACAGCCUUUGCUGUGAAUCAUGGAUGAAGAAGUGACCAUAAUAGGGCCACUAUUAGUCUGUAGCCUAUUUCGCAUUAAAGUUCUUAAAUUACAUGCUGUCCUCUUUCACUUGCACUUAGAACUGCUUUUGAUCUAAAUGUAUAAUAUCGGUCAAGGGAUGUGUAUGCUGUGGAGUUAGGAUGGUAGUUGUUCAAAGUAAUUUGCAAGGGUUUCAUUACUAAAGCAAUGCUACUUUUUAUUAACAGUUUGACACCUCCAGAACGGAGGAGGAAUUACCAUUAUCUUUCACUUUAACAAAACUGUAUGAAGCAACUACAAUCUACUAAAGGCUCUGUGAAGCACUGCAAAGACGAUUUCUCUUUUUAAAUAAUUUACCAUUCAGCCUUGAACUAAUCUUAUCUCUAUGUCAGUUUUGACGUCUGAAGUUGUGUGGUAGACAUUAACCACCACUCUCAGGCACCUAGGCUUGAACUAUUUUCCAUAUUGAGAACGUUUCUAUUGCACAAGUUUCAGUGAAAGACACUCUCUACAGGAGAUUUUAAUUACAUCACUGGCCCAUGGCAGCCAUGGAAGCACCCCCUCAGAUCUCCAUUCAAGAGAGAGCCCACUGCAAAGAGUGUUGUGCAGCUGACAAGUCCCAGCUGCUGCAACCACAGGAUUCACACAACGUUCAUACUCAGGCCAAUGCUCUCCUGGGGCUGUUCACAGAGAAACCCCACCAGCAGCCCAGGCAGAAUACUGGGGCCUGGCUUUCUACCCAGUGGGGGAUGUUCAGAGGGGUGCCCUUGGCCCUGAUGUUCUUAUCAGCCUAUAAGGGGCCACCUUGGAGCUAUUACUAUGGCUGAGGGCCCUUCCACCCAGCCCGAUGGUCUCUAACUCUUCUCUCUCCUUGUAGGUUUUAGACUUGCAUGGAGGACUAAAGUAUUUCCCUGCUGACUCCUGCCUUCUCUCCCUUUUAUUCCUUUUUUUGGCUUUGCCCACAGCAUGCAGAAGUUCCUGGGCCAGGGAUCGAACCCACACUAUGGCAGCAACCCAAGCCACUGCAGUAACAUUGCUGGAUCCUUAACUACUAGGCCAUCAGGGAACUCCUCUCCUUUACUCUUUACAGAUGUUUUCCUCAAUCAAGCUUUUGCACAUGUAACUCCACUCUGUCCAUUCUGGAAGAUCAAAAAAUGAUAGAAUG